UUUCAUUCUUCUUCUUUAUUCUCUUUGUUCUUCGUUUUUUCUCUGCUCUUCUUUUUAUUCUCUGUUUCAUCCUAUGUAGAGAUUCGAGAUCGUGAGAGUUAUGAAAGGAUCAAGGAGUGACUAUUGCUAGUGAUGUUGAUAUUAAUUUGUUAUGAGAAAAAGAAAAAAUGACAUCUAGAGAGAAUCGGAAAGUUAGGGUUUCAUCUAAUGUUGAGCUGUUUGGAGUCAGAUGAGUUGUGGGGAUAGUGAUAGACGAGAAAUAGAAGGGGUUGUUGUUGAAUGGACGAUGAGAAGCUAUCCUGGUGGAGAAUCAUUAAACCAGGCUUCUUAGGAUUUCGUGGAAUUGUUCAGAGAAGAGACAGAAGUUGAUAUUGAGAGUAUGGAGGAUUCAUUUGAGAUGGGUUUUGACUAAUUAAGUGAAUUAGGGUUUGUAUGGAAAGUCAGGGAAGAUGAAAUUAAGAGUUUAGAAGUCUGAUAUUGAAGAUGGUUUUGUUUCGAAUAAAGAGUUAAAUAUUGAUUUUGAAGCUGAGAUCGAUUAGAGCUCAUGACUGAAGAUGUAGACAGAAUUGGGGUUUGAUUAUGAUUAUAAGAGGGUGAUGGAAUUAUUAUGAGUAUUGAACUGGUUGGUGCUGGAGCAGAAUUUAUCUGAGGUAAUUGUUUCUUUGAGUUGAUUCCUGUAUAGUCAUUCAGUUUCAUUACUCAUGUAUAUGUGAUUGAUAGUAGGUUUGUAAGAGUGGUAUUAAGAGUUGAUAUGAAUGGGAAGUUGAGAUUUGAAACUGGUUUUGAUGUGAACCAACUGGAAGAGGAAAGGAGGAAUAAUUAGUGGAUUAUGAAUGAUUGUUGUUUGAGUGGAAUCGAUGUGUUUGUAUGAUAAGAAUGUUUACAAAGAUAAAAACUUUUAAUGAAAUUGAAAUGAGGUUAAGGCAGGGUUGUCUGACUUUGAGUUGCAGAUGAAGUUAGAGUUAAACUGGUUGUGAGGUUGAACUGAACUUAGUGUUGACUGUGUAGUUGUUAUUACAGAACUGAAGUUGUAGGUUAUGUAUGUCUUGUUAAGCUCGGGGUUUGGAGAUGGAGGUAAAGUAAAUAUAAUAGAUUGGUUGUUCUGUUGGCAGAUUCAAAUUGUGUUUAACAAGAGAAUGGUGUUGUUUGUGAAGAUGUAGUGUAAUGGGGUUGAAUGGAGCUGAACUAGUAACAAGGUUUGGCAGUGAGUAGUAUGGAUUGAAUUCUGAUUUAGGAGCUCAGGCAGAACUCUAGGAGUUAGUGUAGUGGUUGUGUUCUGCUGGUUUGCUUGAGUUGAGAAGUUUGUUACUGCAGCUACUGCAUUUGCAGUUAAUCUUUUUAACAAUGAUCGAUUCGAAGGAUGAACCAGUGGAUCGUGGAUCUCGAGGUAGGCGUGGUUUGUAAUCAAAAGAGUUUUCAGAGACAGAUCAAGAUGUUCAUGUGGCGAGAAAGCUUCGAGGAUUUAAUUAUGAUAGUUAGAUAAAUUUUGUUGUUUUUAAUUUAUAUUUAUAUUCUAUUUGAAAACCAGAACUAGUGUAUAUGUAUCACUUGAGAGGAGUUCUUGUAUAUGUACAUUUUAGAACGUGGCUAGUUUUUGGGUUAAGUUUUGUAGCAGAUUUCUUAAUUGAAUAUUUAAGUAAAUGAUUUAGAUUCUU